AUACGGAGGGUGCGAGCGUUAAUCGGAAUUACUGGGCGUAAAGCGUGCGUAGGCGGUUGAUUUAGUCAGAUGUGAAAGCCCCGGGCUCAACCUGGGAACUGCAUUUGAAACUGGUCAACUGGAGUAUGGUAGAGGGGGGUAGAAUUUCUGGUGUAUCGGUGAAAUGCGUAGAUAUCAGAAGGAAUACCGAUGGCGAAGGCAGCCCCCUGGACCAAUACUGACGCUGAGGUACGAAAGCGUGGGGAGCAAACAGGAUUAGAAACCCGGGUAGUCC
rnacentral:rRNA from 1 species